rnacentral:rRNA from 1 species
UACAGAGGUCUCAAGCGUUGCUCGGAAUUACUGGGCGUAAAGCGCGUGUAGGCGGACUGGUGUGUCGGAUGUGAAAUCCCCAGGCUCAACCUGGGAACUGCAUUCGAAACUGCCAGCCUUGAGUGGUGGAGAGGGAAGUGGAAUUCCUGGUGUAGAGGUGAAAUUCGUAGAUAUCAGGAGGAACACCAGUGGCGAAGGCGGCUUCCUGGACACCAACUGACGCUGAGACGCGAAAGCGUGGGGAGCAAACAGG